ensembl:lncRNA
CUCUACUCUUUGUAUUUGUCAUUGCCUUCUCCAGCUGACACAAAUUUCCAUGUAGCACUGCAUCAGACAGGCAGGCAAAGAGCUAGCAUCACUAGCAGCCGAGCACAGUAACAGUACCCAGAGACUAACACCCAUUAUAUUUAGGGAUGGGUAUCGAAACCUGGUUCUUGUUGAGAACCGGUUCCCACUGUUUCAAUUCCUUGGAAUUGUUUGCCAUUUUUGCAAACGAUUCCCUUAUCGAUUCCAGUCGCCUCGAAUGACGUCACCACGUUGCGGAGCGUCAUUUACCUGGCAGGGCGCCUAAGCGGCUCAGACGCUCAAAAGUUUGGUUAUACUUUACGAGAACGGAUGACAACAGGGCAACUUGCAAUACUUGCAAAGUAGAUAUUUCAUUUAUGGGAGGAAACACUACGAAUAUGCAAAAGCAUUUGCUCACAGAACACGCGAUAACCUUAAAUGAAUGUCGUGUUCUUAUUUCCGCUCCGGACUCGUGAAUCUCAACCCAGCAGCAGCGGUAACGUUUGCACGUCCUCUCCCGUUAAUGCGGCAGGUGACCAUGAUGAGACAGACAGAGUCUGGCUGGCUCACAUGCUGGCAGUUCUCGCUGCAGUCUACCGGUAGCGUCUCCUUUCAGGCCAGGAUAGACGAAUGUCACCGAGCAGUGACUAAGUUUGUGGUCAAAGGCUUGCACCCAUUUGCCCCGAUUUUCGUGAAAACAGAGGGAACAGAGAAAAAUUAAUCUCGGACUCCGCAGCAGCGAGGAAGUGCACCAUCCCAAUUUUACACCUCCAUACUUUUAUAGGUUCGUAAGUGUUGCUGGAAGCACCAAGCAUCAGUGAGCACCAAUAGAAACAUCAAUCAGGCAGAGGCAGCAGAGGAGAAGAUAAAUAAUAAAGUUUUCAUGAGACUUCCACAUUCUGGGAGACAGAGAGUGCUUGUCAGUGCGCUCGGAGGUGGUGGUAUCUCUUUUGCAUUUUAAGGAAUCGCUGUGCAGUUUGUGCUGAGGUGAAGGCCAUUAAUAAUAACGGCUGGAAUCAGCUGCCAUGCUUCCUGCUUUAGAAUACAAAGUGGACCUUUUCAGCAUUUCACCGUGUUGAUCAAAGUAAACAUUUGAAAUUUUAAACAAUGAAAACAUCCUUUAUUUUCAGAGCUUCACUUCCUCCUUUCUUCACCAUCAUAUUUUCCUAAUUUAUCUUAUUCUCAGCUUUAAUGAGUUUUGAUGGACUGCUUUUGUCUGGCUAGCCCACAUUAUUUGGCUCCAUCUACAUAGCCUUUGUUAUGCUAAAUAAACAGCCCCAGGACUUCUUUGUUAGUCUAAUGUCACUGAAUAAAAGUGCUGUUUCA